UGAUCCUGGAUCGGCCUCCUCGUGUCCCCACAGCUACCACAGCUUGGGCCACUGUCUCCGCACCAACAUGUUUCCAGGUGCUCCUGUGACAUGGAGAUCUCUCGCCCAGGACUCCUACGUCAGCCACCCUGUGACAGCCUGGUCUACCGACCCCCAUCUCUGGUUCGGCCACAAGACAGAUGAAAUGGUUUGUCCAGUGGACAGAGAAAAACAUCACGAACCAGAAGCUCAACAAGACACUGACGGAAAUGGAAAAAAAGGGCACCG